UGCAGAAUCCCGUGAACCAUCGAGUUUUUGAACGCAAGUUGCGCCUGAGGCCAGCUGGCUGAGGGCACGUCCGCCUGGGCGUCAAGC
rnacentral:rRNA from 1 species